rnacentral:lncRNA from 1 species
UGGGGAGUGAGUCCCAUGCUGGCACCUAGAGUAAAUCUGCCUGUAAAGUCCCACCAAAAGCAGACAGGGAGCUGGUCCAGAGCCACUGAGAGAUGCCCUGAAGAGAAUCAGCACCCUUGGUCUUGAAUCGGCACCCUUGGUCCCACCUCUGCAUGCAAGAGGAAAGAUUUCCAGGUCCUGGCUGAAUCCCUUGGACUCCAAGGAACCUCGAGCUUACAGGGGCAAGUUGGGAGGAGGAAAACAUGAGCAUAUUUUUACAGAAAUUGAAGUCUCCCUGCAGCAGAAAAUCCGGGACCUGAGGAGGGGGAACCAGCGGCUCCCUCUCCCCUUCAGCUCUCUGAGCCCUGCACCUGAGGCAUUCUGUGUGUAGGAACCCCGAGCUCCCGGGCACCAGGUGAAACAGAGAGGAGGAAGGGCAGAGGGUGGCACUGGGCAGCCGAGCAUCCUCCUGCGCUGGGAGCCCAGGAACGAGCAGAGGCGCAGAACAGCUCCAGGCGAGGAUUUCAGCUCUGCGGGGAGGGGCUGCGCCGAGCAUCGGGGAUCAAGGGCUGGAAGGGAACCCAAGGUCCAGAAGUCUUCCAGAAAACAGUUUUAAAGUUGUUCAAAGCAAGGUGGAAAAGCUGAAAAGUCAAACUCAGGUAUUUCCAAAGGGAAGCAAGCUACAGGAGAUGUGGAGGCACAGAGAAAGCAGAGCUGUGUGCAGGCAAGCCCCCCUGCCAGGGUCUGGAGAUGAAAGGUCAGGAAUCAGCAGGAACGGGGCUUGUGCUCUAUGAUUUGCAUUUCCCAUUCUCCCUUUGGGUCUAGGAAUAUCCAUAUCAUUAAGGUCUGGGCUGAAAUGGGACUGAACUGGAAC